rnacentral:lncRNA from 1 species
UUCUCUAUUCAAUGUCAUAUAUAAAAAAAAAUUGAUUCUUAUAUGCGCAUUAAUAAGUCAUUCAUUGGCUCUUCUGUUUAAACACCAAUUAACCUAUACGUGAGUUAUUGCAUCCCAAGCAUAAACUCUUGCGUAUGUGUACGAUUUCUUUUUACUCAAAGCUUAAAUUGGCCGGUUUGGAUUUUGUUGGUGAUUCGAAGAGAGCUAAAUCAAGAAAAACGAACUAGAUGAUGAGAUGCCACCAGAGACCAGAGGAAGAGAGUCGGUGGAGUGUUCACGAUUGAUGACCGAAGCAAACGGGGAGCUAAGGCAAAUCUCUUCAAAAGGCAAGGAGGAGUGGUAGAUGGAAGACCCUUGAAGAAGUAUCUGUUCGAUUAUAGCCAUCGCCACUUGGAAUCACCGUAAGACUCGCCAUCCAUGGAAAGAGAGGAGCUCGGGUUCGUCUCGAUGAUAUCGAAGAAGAGAAAGAAAUGAGUAAAGUCAAUUGGGUCCAAGGUGAAGUUUGCAUAAACAAGUGGGCCACAAUUGAGUAAAAUCUCACCUCAAAGUCCCGUUCCGGCA